rnacentral:rRNA from 1 species
GACGUAGGGUGCGAGCGUUGUCCGGAAUCACUGGGCGUAAAGAGCUCGUAGGCGGGGUCGUGCGUCGUGGAGUAAAUUUCUCUGCUUAACGGAGAAAUCAUCUGCGAUACGGCGACUCUUGAGGACAGGAGAGGAAAGCGGAAUUCCGAGUGUAGCGGUGAAAUGCGUAGAGAUUCGGAGGAACACCAGUGGCGAAGGCGGCUUUCUGGCCUGAUUCUGACGCUGAGGAGCGAAAGCCAGGGUAGCGAACGGG